CACGACCCUUUAUUGCACAAGAGCCCCACCCCCCUCAUAAAAGUGUCUGAAACAGCGUCCUGGAUCCUGACCAAACAGAUUACAGCAGCGACCUUGGGGGGAAGCCAGCAGAGGGGUGGAGACUUUCUCUCCCCUCCAGAACACGGAACCAAUCUCAGCUAAUCCUCACAAUUUCCCUGUUCACGGACGGGCGGUGUGUGCGCAUCUUUUCCAAUGGAGAGGAGUCGUUGGCAUCGGUAAUAGAUGGAAUGUGAAUAUUGUAUUGUGUGGAGGGACAGCUCCUCUGGCCUGUGGCCAGGGAAGGAAGACAAGAUCCAGUGGAGAGAGAAAUGGCUGAUUCACUGUCUGGGGCAGAGAAAGUGAAACUGGGGCAUCAACUUGUACCAAAAGACUAGGAAGUGUUCAAAAACAUAGGAGAUAUAGAAGGGAUUCUUACUGGCCAAAUUUGGGACAAUUAGAGCACCAAAAUGAAUAAUGACUGCAACUGGUAACAUGAUGAAUAGAACAAACUCUAUGUGUCCAUAGUGAUAUUCAAAACAAGAGGGGAAGGAAGGGAAAUAGCUAAUAAAAAUGGAAGGAAUAAUAGAAUUGGAUAUCACUAUUUUGCAGCCCCCAAUAAAAUAAGUGAUUUAUACAAAGUUUAUCAAUGGAGCCACUGGAUAAAAGUUUACUAGACAGUAAGAUAUUCACUUUGCCACAGAGGACCCAAGUAUUAUCAAGGGGGAAAUUUCUCUUUACAAUAGAGAGAUCUGGGAGUCAGUAUCU